rnacentral:tRNA from 1 species
GCAGGGGUUGCCAAGCUUGGUCAACGGCGCUAGGAUGAGGUCCUAGUCCUCAGUGGUUCGCAGGUUCAAAUCCUGCCCUCUGCAUCA